AUGUGAAGCAGAACCCGAAAAAAUCAUCUCAGUUCAGAUUGCAGGCUGCAACUCGCCUGCAUGAAGUCGGAAUUGCUAGUAAUCGCGGAUCAGCAUGCCGCGGUGAAUACGUUCCCGGGCCUUGUACACACCGCCCGUCACACCAUGGGAGUCGGUAACACCCGAAGCCAGUAGCCUAACCGCAAGGAGGGCGCUAUCGAAGGUGGGAUUGAUGACUGGGGUGAAGUCGUAACAAGGUAUC
rnacentral:rRNA from 1 species